rnacentral:rRNA from 1 species
UACGAAGGGAGCUAGCGUUGUUCGGAAUCACUGGGCGUAAAGCGCACGUAGGCGGAUGUGUCAGUCAGGGGUGAAAUCCCGGAGCUCAACUUCGGAACUGCCCUUGAUACAGCACGUCUCGAGUCCGAGAGAGGUGAGUGGAAUUCCUAGUGUAGAGGUGAAAUUCGUAGAUAUUAGGAAGAACACCAGUGGCGAAGGCGGCUCACUGGCCCGGUACUGACGCUGAGGCGCGAAAGCGUGGGGAGCAAACAGG